rnacentral:rRNA from 1 species
GAUGAACGCUGGCGGUAUGCUUAACACAUGCAAGUCGAACGGACUCUUCGGAGUUAGUGGCGGACGGGUGAGUAACGCGUGAGAAUCUGGCUUUGGGUUCGGGACAACCACUGGAAACGGUGGCUAAUACCGGAUGUGCCGAGAGGUAAAAGAGAAAUUGCCUGAAGAUGAGCUCGCGUCUGAUUAGCUAGUUGGUGAGGUAAAGGCUCACCAAGGCAGCGAUCAGUAGCUGGUCUGAGAGGAUGACCAGCCACACUGGGGCUGAGACACGGCCCAGACUCCUACGGGAGGCAGCAGUGGGGAAUUUUCCGCAAUGGGCGAAAGCCUGACGGAGCAAUACCGCGUGGGGGAAGAAGGCUCUUGGGGUGUAAACCUCUUUUCUUAGGGAAGAACAAAAUGACGGUACCUAAGGAAUCAGCAUCGGCUAACUCCGUG